CUUGGGCCUUGGACUGGCUGGGGCGGUUCUUUCCCUGGAGGCCUGGCAGGUGCCACCCACCACCUGCACCUGGAGAGAAGAGGAGAUGGUGAAGGACAGGGAAGCCUGGUGUGCUGCAGUCCACGGGGUGGCAAAGAGUCAGACUUGAAUGAGCAACUGAACAACAACCUUACAUUUAAGAGGAAAGAUCAGACAGUUUUUAGAACAGAGCACAGCCACCUUGAAGAUGGAAGGCAAACCAUUUCUGGAGCCCCAACCUCCCCACUCCAGUUUCUCCAGGAAGAGAUCAUCACACCACGUCAUGUGGUCUAUUGCCGCCCCAACCCGCUGGCCUCAAGGGGAGGAAGAAAUAAAAGCAAGCACAUUCCAGACGCUGCAGGGAAAAUGGGAUUUGGGAAAAGGAUGUUUGUUCAAAAUCAACCAAAAAUAGAGAAGCAAGAAGAGGAAGAGGCAACCUCUUGACCCAUUUAAAAAGCUAUUUCCCAAGAAGGAUUUUCUAAGCAAUGAACAAUGUCACAAAAGGAAACGCCAAUGUAAAAACAUAAAGCUUUGGUAUGUUAGAAACUAUGGAAAACAAACAUGAAAGUAAUCAACACACUCAUAAACCACACACACCACAAAUGUCACAAUGACAGUGGAUAGAGA
ensembl:lncRNA